rnacentral:rRNA from 1 species
AUACGGAGGGUGCAAGCGUUAAUCGGAAUUACUGGGCGUAAAGCGCGCGUAGGCGGCUCAGUCAGUCGGAUGUGAAAGCCCCGGGCUCAACCUGGGAAUUGCAUUCGAUACUGCUGAGCUAGAGUAUGGAAGAGGGAAGUGGAAUUCCGGGUGUAGCGGUGAAAUGCGUAGAUAUCCGGAGGAACACCAGUGGCGAAGGCGACUUCCUGGGCCAAUACUGACGCUGAGGUGCGAAAGCGUGGGGAGCAAACAGGAUUAGAUACCCCAGUAGUCC